GACGAACCGUGCGAACGUUAUUCGGAAUCACUGGGCUUAAAGCGCGUGUAGGCGGGUCAGCAAGUCGGUUGCUGAAAUCCCCCGGCUCAACCGGGGAACGGGCACCGAUACGACUGGCCUGGAGGGGAGUAGGGGGACCUGGAACUUCCGGUGGAGCGGUGAAAUGCGUUGAGAUCGGAAGGAACGCCCGUGGCGAAAGCGAGGUCCUGGGCUCCUGCUGACGCUGAGACGCGAAAGCCAGGGGAGCGAACGGG
rnacentral:rRNA from 1 species